CCUGCCCCUAGAAACCUUGCAGGUGUGACUGCUGAGUCACAUACGCUUCAGUGGCAGAGGGGAGAGAGGCUGUGUCAGUGACGUCAGUGCUCUGUUCUGUGAACAUCUGAAUGAUUAUUAGCCUAACAGU